rnacentral:rRNA from 1 species
GACGAACGCUGGCGGCGUGCUUAACACAUGCAAGUCGAACGAUGAAGCCUUCGGGUGGAUUAGUGGCGAACGGGUGAGUAACACGUGGGUGAUCUGCCCUGCACUUUGGGAUAAGCCUGGGAAACUGGGUCUAAUACCGAAUAUGAUCAUGCUCUUCCUGGGGUGUGGUGGAAAGCUUUUGCGGUGUGGGAUGGGCCCGCGGCCUAUCAGCUUGUUGGUGGGGUAAUGGCCUACCAAGGCGACGACGGGUAGCCGGCCUGAGAGGGUGACCGGCCACACUGGGGCUGAGAUACGGCCCAGACUCCUACGGGAGGCAGCAGUGGGGAAUAUUGCACAAUGGGCGCAAGCCUGAUGCAGCGAUGCCGCGUGAGGGAUGACGGCCUUCGGGUUGUAAACCUCUUUCAGCAGGGACGAAGCGAAAGUGACGGUACCUGCAGAAGAAGGACCGGCCAACUACGUGCCAGCAGCCGCCGUAA